rnacentral:lncRNA from 1 species
ACCGUUCUUUUCUGUUGCUUGAAAUAUUUCUGUGGAGAACUGCUGCUCUUACUGUAGUUCAUUGAUUUUAUAGAGUGCCAAGGCAGGAGGGGUGUCUGCAUCUGCUUUAUGACCUUCUGCAAAUCACAACCCAUAAAGAUGAUCCUGUUUCCCUCCAAGAAGAUUGGAUGCAUGACCUGAUACUUCAACUUCUCAAGAAUAGAAUGAUGUGUGACAAUGUGAAAGCCAGGGAGACCAGAUGGUACCAGUGCCCAACGGCACCUACAGUUGCAGGGUUUCACUAUGUCCAGAGAUCCUGCAGACAAUCAAUGAGCCACAUUGAAGGAGCUAAUUUUGUCAAUUUGAUCUAGGGAAAAAUGUGACAGUAGAACCACUGGCAACAGUUUGUAUGUAAGGACAGGUGCUGUGCAUUACCUCAGAGAGCUGGACAACUCAAGGUCUUUCCCUAACAGCAAAGAGCAAAAAAUAAUUACAUCAUGACACAGUUUGGAUAAUAGUUUGAGUGAAUCAGAAGCCAUGAUGUAACUGUGUGUUGGUGAAAUGCUUAAUGUACCAGAAGCUAAGGAAACAUGGACAUGGGACUUUCUAUGUGAUUAUGCUGUCUUGGCAAUGGUUGUGUUGUGGAGAUUGACACUUCCCAACAUGGAAAUGAAACAAGCAAGCCAGAUUUUUUUAAGAAAAAUGACUGCAUUUCUGGCUGAAGAUCUGUCAUACCUUUUCCCAGAGAUGAUAAGUCUGUGCUUUGUAAGCCAUGGAUGUCACUCUGCCUCCUAUCCUCCAUUAGUGACCUCCUGUCACUAAUGCCUCCUACUUAUUUCCAUGGAACUACAACAGAUACAAACAGCUUAAUAACACUAUUUGAUGGAGCAAAUUAUCAACUACAAAAUGCUAUUUUUUCAACAUAGUCACUCUGUACAAGGUUCCCCAGUCAUAAUUCACCUGUACUCAUGUGGAUGAGCUGAUCAAGACAAUCUUCAUUAUGUAGUCUGACAGCAUUACCUGACCAUCCAGAACAGACCUUGUCUUUCACAUCACCAUUGCCACUGCUGAAACGUAUCAUCCGCAGUCUCACUGUGCUUACAUUCACUCUUCAGUCUCCAUAAACAUUCAGCAAGCAUCAAUGAAUGUCAGUAGGUGCAACUUUAUUCCACGCGGGUGCUACUUUGUUCCACACUGGGGAAUUCAGUGAUACACCUUUGCUUCACAUGCACUUCCAUGUCAGAUGUCAUUUUGUCAGCUGCUUCUCUGCUGCUGUCUGUCACACAUCAACAAAAUGUAAUGGAGUACUGAUGGAAAAGUUCAACCUCUACUGCCAUCCCAUGACAUCUGCCUCUGACAUCAUGGACCAACAUUAUAAAAAUAGGAGGCAUUACUUUUGGAGCACCCCUGUACUUAGGAUGUGAAAGUGGAUCAUCAAGAAGCCAGCAGAUGGGGGAAGGCUUCCUCUGCAAUGCAAGAUUCUGGUCUUUCCAGCAGGAAAACACAAGCAAACAACUUCCUACUCAGUCCCCAUGGUGAAGCAGGAACGUGGCUCUUCCGUCAAGAUUCUGAAUUUCUC